rnacentral:rRNA from 1 species
AGUGUCAUAUGCUUGUCUCAAAGCUUAAGCCAUGCAAGUCUCAGUACAGACUAUAUUAAAGUGAAACCGCAAAAGGCUCAGUAAACCAGUUUUAAUUUACUAGAGUUAACUUGACUGUGCUUGGAUAACUGUGGUAAUUCUAGAGCUAAUACAUGCAACAAAGCCGUGACCAUUCGUGGUCAGGGCGCUUUUAUUAGACCAAGACCAAUCGCCCGGCCAGUCCGGGCGUUAAGUUGAGGAACCUAGAUAACACAGCAGAUCGCAUGGUCUUUGUACCGGCGACCUAUCUUUCAAAUGCCUGACUUAUCAACUGACGAUGGUAGACUCUGUGUCUACCAUGGCUGUUACGGGUAACGGGGAAUCAGGGUUCGAUUCCGGAGAGGGAGCCUGAGAAACGGCUACCACAUCCAAGGAAGGCAGCAGGCACGCAAAUUACCCACUCCCGGAACGGGGAGGUAGUGACAAAAAAUAACGAUACGGGACUCGAUAUGAGGCCUCGUAAUCGGAAUGAGUACACUCUAAAUCCUUUAACAAAAAUCUAUUGGAGGGCAAGUCUGGUGCCAGCAGCCGCGGUAAUUCCAGCUCCAAUAGCGUAUAUUAAAGUUGUUGCGGUUAAAAAGCUCGUAGUUGGUUCUGCGUCCCGCGCUGUCGGUACACCGUUUGUCGGUGACACUGGCAUGACGCGGGAUGUCCUGUCGGUGGCGGCGGAGACCAUAUCGCCGUCGGCUAACACCGCGGCGUGUUGGCCUUCUGUCGCCGGCUUUAUCCUACCGCGGUGCUCUUCACUGAGUGUCGAGGUAGGCCGACACGUUUACUUUGAACAAAUUAGAGUGCUUAAAGCAGGCAAAAAUCUCUGCCAGAAUAGUGGUGCAUGGAAUAAUGGAACAGGACCUUGGUUCUAUUCUGUUGGUCUCCGGAACACAAGGUAAUGAUCAAUGUGGACAGGCGGGGGCAUUCGUAUUGCGGCGUUAGAGGUGAAAUUCUUGGAUCGUCGCAAGACGCACUAGAGCGAAAGCAAUUGCCAAGUAUGUCUUAAUUGAUCAAGAACGAAAGUUAGAGGUUCGAAGGCGAUCA